UACGGGGGGGGCAAGCGUUGUUCGGAAUUAUUGGGCGUAAAGAGCUCGUAGGCGGUCUGUCGCGUCGGCUGUGAAAUCCCGAGGCUCAACCUCGGGUCUGCAGUCGAUACGGGCAAACUAGAGUAUUGCAGGGGAGACUGGAAUUCCUGGUGUAGCGGUGAAAUGCGCAGAUAUCAGGAGGAACACCGGUGGCGAAGGCGGGUCUCUGGGCAAUAACUGACGCUGAGGAGCGAAAGCGUGGGGAGCGAACAGG
rnacentral:rRNA from 1 species